AACAAAUCUGAUAUACAUAGGUUUUUAUAUUUGUUUUGAAUAUAAAAUUAAAAGGGAAUCCGGUGCGAAUCCGGAGCAGUCCGAACCUCUACCGUAUUUGCUGACGAGAAAUAUUCGCUAAAGGCGGCCAUUGCUCUUUUGAGUGAGAAGGUUUAUUUUAAGGUUGAAGCAUUAGCCGGGAGACCUGCCGUGUAUAUGGUUUUUGC
rfam:Eubacterium sp. CAG:251 genomic scaffold, scf43